CGGUUAAGCUAAUAAGAGCACACGGAGGAUGCCUAGGCGCCAGGAGCCGACGAAGGACGUGGCGAACAACGAAACUGCCUCGGGGAGCUGUAAGCAAGCUUUGAUCCGGGGGUGUCCGAAUGGGGAAACCCAGCUGUGGUAAUUCGCAGUUACUCGUAUCUGAAUACAUAGGAUACGCAGAGGCAGACCAGGGGAACUGAAACAUCUAAGUACCCUGAGGAAGAGAAAACAAUAGUGAUUCCGUCAGUAGCGGCGAGCGAACGCGGAACAGCCUAAACCAGGGGGCUUGCCUCCUGGGGUUGUGGGACGUCUCACAUGGAGUUACAAAGGAAUAUGGUAGGCGAAGAGGUCUGGAAAGGCCCGCGAUAGAGGUAAAAGCCCUGUAGCCUAAACUGUGUUCUCUCCGAGACGGAUCCCGAGUAGUGCGGGGCACGUGAAACCCCGUAUGAAUCCGGCAGGACCAUCUGUCAAGGCUAAAUACUACCUGGCGACCGAUAGUGAAACAGUACCGUGAGGGAAAGGUGAAAAGCACCCCGGAAGGGGAGUGAAAUAGAACCUGAAACCGUGUGCUUACAAAAAGUCAGAGCCCGAUCUAUGGGUGAUGGCGUGCCUUUUGUAGAAUGAACCGGCGAGUUACGUUUAACAUGCAAGGUUAAGGUGAGAAGCCGGAGCCGCAGCGAAAGCGAGUCUGAAUAGGGCGAUUUAGUAUGUGGACGUAGACCCGAAACCGUGUGAUCUACCCCUGUCCAGGGUGAAGGUGCGGUAACACGCACUGGAGGCCCGAACCCACGUACGUUGAAAAGUGCGGGGAUGAGGUGGGGGUAGCGGAGAAAUUCCAAUCGAACUCGGAGAUAGCUGGUUCUCCCCGAAAUAGCUUUAGGGCUAGCCUCGGUGAAUGGAGUGAUGGAGGUAGAGCACUGAUUGGGUGCGGGGCCCGCAAGGGUUACCAAGCUCAGUCAAACUCCGAAUGCCAUUAUCUUCUUGCCGGGAGUCAGACAGUGAGUGCUAAGAUCCAUUGUCAAAAGGGAAACAGCCCAGACCAUCAGCUAAGGUCCCCAAGUGUGUGUUAAGUGGGAAAGGAUGUGGAGUUGCACAGACAACCAGGAUGUUGGCUUAGAAGCAGCCACCAUUUAAAGAGUGCGUAAUAGCUCACUGGUCGAGUGACUCUGCGCCGAAAAUGUAACGGGGCUAAACACACCACCGAAGCUAUGGCUAGAUACGUAUGUAUCUGGGGUAGGGGAGCGUUGUAUGUGGGUUGAAGGUGUACCGUAAGGAGCGCUGGACAGCAUACAAGUGAGAAUGCCGGUAUGAGUAACGAAAAGAUCAGUGAGAAUCUGAUCCGCCGAAAGCCCAAGGUUUCCUGAGGAAGGCUCGUCCGCUCAGGGUAAGUCGGGACCUAAGGCGAGGCCGAUAGGCGUAGUCGAAGGACAACAGUUUGAAAUUACUGUACCACCGUAAUCCGCUAUGAGCGAUGGGGUGACGCAGGAGGGUAGUGACGCGGACUGAUGGAUGUCCGUCUAAGCAGUGAGGCUGGUGUGUAGGCAAAUCCGCACAUCGUAAGGCUGGGCUGUGAUGGGGAGCGAAAAUUGUAGUAGCGAAGGUCAUGAUCUCACACUGCCAAGAAAAGCCUCUAGCCAGGAGAAGGUGCCCGUACCGCAAACCGACACAGGUAGGCGAGAAGAGAAUUCUAAGGCGCGCGGAAGAACUCUCGUUAAGGAACUCGGCAAAAUGACCCCGUAACUUCGGGAGAAGGGGUGCCUCGGUAGGGUGAAUAGCCCGAGGGGGCCGCAGUGAAAAGGCCCAAGCGACUGUUUAGCAAAAACACAGGUCUGUGCGAAGCCGCAAGGCGAAGUAUACGGGCUGACGCCUGCCCGGUGCUGGAAGGUUAAGGGGAGUGGUUAGGGGUAACCCGAAGCUAUGAACCGAAGCCCCAGUAAACGGCGGCCGUAACUAUAACGGUCCUAAGGUAGCGAAAUUCCUUGUCAGGUAAAUUCUGACCCGCACGAAUGGCGUAACGACUUGGGCGCUGUCUCAACGAGAGAUCCGGUGAAAUUUUAAUACCUGUGAAGAUGCAGGUUACCCGCGACAAGACGGAAAGACCCCAUGGAGCUUUACUGCAGCUUGAUAUUGAAUUUGGGUACGAUCUGUACAGGAUAGGUGGGAGCCGUAGAAACAGGAGCGCAAGCUUCUGUGGAGGCGCCGUUGGGAUACCACCCUGAUCGUAUCUAGGUUCUAACCUGGUGCCCUUAACGGGUACGGGGACCGUGUCAGGCGGGCAGUUUGACUGGGGCGGUCGCCUCCUAAAGAGUAACGGAGGCGUUCAAAGGUUCCCUCAGAAUGGUUGGAAAUCAUUCGAAGAGUGCAAAGGCAUAAGGGAGCUUGACUGCGAGACCAACAAGUCGAGCAGGGACGAAAGUCGGACUUAGUGAUCCGGUGGUACCGCAUGGAAGGGCCAUCGCUCAACGGAUAAAAGCUACCCUGGGGAUAACAGGCUUAUCUCCCCCAAGAGUCCACAUCGACGGGGAGGUUUGGCACCUCGAUGUCGGCUCAUCGCAUCCUGGGGCUGAAGUAGGUCCCAAGGGUUGGGCUGUUCGCCCAUUAAAGCGGUACGCGAGCUGGGUUCAGAACGUCGUGAGACAGUUCGGUCCCUAUCUGUCGUGGGCGCAGGAAAUUUGAGAGGAGCUGUCCUUAGUACGAGAGGACCGGGAUGGACGUACCGCUGGUGCACCAGUUGUUCCGCCAGGAGCAUGGCUGGGUAGCUACGUACGGACGGGAUAAGCGCUGAAAGCAUCUAAGCGUGAAGCCCCCCUCAAGAUGAGAUUUCCCAAUUAGUAAGACCCCUUGAAGACGACGAGGUAGAUAGGUUGGAGGUGGAAGUGCAGCAAUGCAUGGAGCUGACCAAUACUAAUCGGUCGAGGGCUUAUCCAA
rnacentral:rRNA from 1 species